rnacentral:rRNA from 1 species
UAGUGGCAAACGGGUGAGUAACACGUGGGCAAUCUGACUCGGAGUGGGGAAUAACGGACCGAAAGGUUCGCUAAUACCGCAUGGUCUUGAGAAAGUAAAGGUUUUCGUAAGAGAAUCGCUUUGAGAGGAGCCUGCGAUCGAUCAGGUAGUUGGUGAGGUAACGGCUCACCAAGCCGACGACCGAUAGCUGAUCUGAGAGGAUGACCAGCCACACUGGGACUGCGAAACGGCCCAGACUCCUACGGGAGGCAGCAGCGAGGAAUAUUGCGCAAUGGAGGAAACUCUGACGCAGUAACGCCGCGUGAGGGACGAGGACCUUCGGGUUGUAAACCUCUUUUUGUAAAGACGAGUGAGGACGGUAUUUAUAGAAUAAGUCUCGGCUAACUACGUGCCAGCAGCCGCGGUAAGACGUAGGAGGCGAGCGUUAUCCGGAUUCACUGGGCGUAAAGCGCAUGUAGGCGGCUCGAUAAGUCGUGUGUUAAAGCCCCUGGCUCAACUGGGGGAGGUCAUGCGAGACUGUCGGACUGGAGGACAGUAGAGGCACGUGGAACUCCCGGUGUAGCGGUGGAAUGCGUAGAGAUCGGGAAGAACACCCGUGGCGAAGGCGACGUGCUGGGCUGUUAC